UCUUUCCGUUGCACGAAUCUGAAAACACCUCAGGGUAAAAUAAAGCCCGUAACAGAAAGAUUGAUGCAAACCUGUCCAGAGAUACCACCGUCCAGACUUGUUCAAGUAUUAUUUUUCAGAUCUUCCCAGCUGUAGAGCAAGGAUGGCUGCAUAUCUAUCAUCUCUCAUAGGAAAAUGAGUCCAUCUGCACAGGCCUCAAAAAGCCAAUACAACUGAAUGGAGGCUAGAUAGUUAUUGCAAAGGCUGGUGUGAAACCAGUUUCCACCCCUCGCAUGGCCACCAUAAGGCGUUUCAGGAAACUGACUAGCAUGUCUGAAAUCUUUCUGCCGAUAUGUGCUCUUCUCCCAGCGAGUUCAACUUCUCCAUUCAGUGCAACGGAAAUGGAAGUUUUGAUCAUGGAAGGGAACAAUGUGAAAUCCCAUAACCGUGUAAGCAUUUCCUGAGCACAAGGCAUCCUGUUUUCUGUCAGCGAGAAAGACGGAGCAAUAAAUCUGUAAUAAAACAGAGAAAUCUCCAAGAAACAUGCUGCCAGCACAGACUGAAAAGAAUAGUGCAAAACGGCAUGGAGUGCUGAGUUACAAAAACCAAGCAACUCCUCUUCCCAAGAAAAUAAAGGCCUUAAGUGUCAUUAAUUUUACUCCCAAACAGAUGUGAACUCCUCAGACUUCUGAAGGUGAAGAUUGUCUCAGUGAGUCCCUACAGGUUCAUCAAGUGACUUGGCCAAGUGGCCGUAUCCUUUGAAAUACCACCCUCGAUGUUGGCUUAAGUUACGCUCCAGCAAAGUCUCCUGUGGCGACACGUGGUUAUGUAAAUGGACGGUGAGAAGUGAGAGGGAUGCAUCAGCACAAGUAAACGUUGCUCGUGAUUGUUGAAUAACAGUGGUGUGAAAAGUCUAAGAGCAACAUCUUAGGUGCUCAUCAGAGGCAGAGCUGAGAUGAUGCUUCCUGCUGCUGGGUGUGUGUGCAUACGUGUGUGUGUACAGACCUCGGAGCAGAAAUAUAUUUGCUGAUUGAGAUUUAUAUGAAUAUAAGACAAAGGCGCCCAUCCAGGACACUAGAAGCCCCUGCCAUAUAUUACAAAAAUAAACAUAAUUACACCACAUGCAGAUCACCAAUCUUGCCCACAAAUCUGAUUUCCCGCUAUAGCCCAGUCUUGCAGCAGCCAGCCUAAAUAGAUAUACAUUGAGUUGUGUCCCAUAGGUCAACAUACUCAGUCAUUUCAGACCAGGACACUAAUAAUAAAUAAUAAUCAUAUAUUAUCAAGUUAAUGGUAAGCUCGGUGACAGACGAAAAGGUCUGUUGAUAAAGUCUCUAAACAGCACACUUUUCUUUCUUACCUCUCUCCAGGCGCGCAAAGAAAGGUACUCUUUUGUUGUGAGACUUUCCCAGUGAUCUUUGGAUCAUGCUUUUUUGAAAACAAACCAACCAACCAACCAGAUUGGUCUGGUAGAUGUGGCAGUGUUAAGCAGUGAUUUAUCAUGAGUUCUGAUAUUUCAUUGGACUAGUUUUUUAUUCGGUUUUGGGCACAUUCCCGUUGCCUCCACAUUCCGCAGGAGGAGAAUCCUUUUUUCUGUAUACGCAGGAACCCAAUGGUGCUCAGCGAAAUCCCUAGUCAGAACAAGCAAUCCCAAGCAAAGGCAGGAUGUGUCAUGUUAGCAUCAUGGCCAGGUAGAUGAGAAAAAGUUUAAAUAGUGAUACAUCAUGGACCAUAAACAGGACAAAUGUUAUCAUUUCUUUGUGGACAAUCUAUUCAGCCAUCUCUAAUGAGCUCCCCAAUAGUCUGAAAAUUGCUGCUGCUGCAGGUAUACUUAUCACUAAUUUAACAAGGUUUUAGGGGAAGUUUGAGAGUAUUUUCCUGGGUUGGAAUUAAGGGGGCUAUUUUACAGCUUUGAUUUAUUGGCUUGCUGAGUUAAUUCACGAUAUGAAGAUAAACAUUUUUUGCUGCUGGGUGGUUAUCAUUUGUGAGUGUGAAUCUAAUUGUUAAG